rnacentral:rRNA from 1 species
UACGUAGGGGGCAAGCGUUGUCCGGAUUUAUUGGGCGUAAAGAGCGUGUAGGCGGCUUUACAGGUCCGUUGUGAAAACUCGAGGCUCAACCUCGAGACGCCGGUGGAAACCGUAAGGCUAGAGUCCGGAAGAGGAGAGUGGAAUUCCUGGUGUAGCGGUGAAAUGCGCAGAGAUCAGGAGGAACACCCGUGGCGAAAGCGGCUCUCUGGGACGGUACUGACGCUGAGACGCGAAAGCGUGGGGAGCGAACAGG